CCUACGGGUGACAGCAGUGAGGAAUAUUGGUCAAUGGGCGCGAGCCUGAACCAGCCAAGUAGCGUGAAGGAUGAAUGCCCUACGGGUCGUAAACUUCUUUUAUAAAGGAAUAAAGUGCGGCACGUGUGCCUUUUUGUAUGUACUUUAUGAAUAAGCAUCGGCUAACUCCGUGCCAGCAGCCGCGGUAAUACGGAGGAUCCGAGCGUUAUCCGGAUUUAUUGGGUUUAAAGGGUGCGUAGAUGGGUUGUUAAGUCAGCUGUGAAAGGUUGCGGCUCAACCGUAAAAUUGCAGUUGAUACUGGCGGCCUUGAGAACGGGUGAGGUAGGCGGAAUUCGUGGUGUAGCGGUGAAAUGCUUAGAUAUCGCGAAGAACUCCGAUUGCGAAGGCAGCUUACUAAACUGCCACUGACAUUGAUGCACGAAAGUGUGGGUAUCGAACAGGAUUAGAUACCCUAGUAGUC
rnacentral:rRNA from 1 species